rnacentral:lncRNA from 1 species
UGUGAGGGUAUGCAGGGACAUGUAGUGGAGCUUCAAGCUCCUCUCCCCCUGAUCUCAGGCUUCAGUUCUCACCACCUUGUUCCAGAAGGAUGCCUUGACCUGCCCAUGGACUCCACCUCAGCCUUGGAAGCCUGACCUUUGUUUCCCACAGCCCUGUUCCUCUCAGGGGCUGGAGUCUCUGCUGUCCGCUGAAGUGGCCACCGUGACUCUCCCCACCCAUGCCUGCUGGGAGUCAGGUCUCCAGGACCCUCGCUCUAGGGUGCCCAGGCUUCUCCCAGCAACAUGCCCUCGAAAGGUCAUGAGCUGCGGGAGCCCUGCCUCAGCCUCUGCUUUCAGGAAUGUGGCCCUAGAGAUCCCCAGACCAGACCUUCCCCCAUGCCACGUGUGGGAUUCGGCACACCUGGAUGCACUGCCCUGGGUCCAGGGGCCUGACCCACUCCUGGAGAAGUACCCUGGCUUCUGGGAGGUUUGGUGAAUGGAUGGCUGGAGGAGAGAGGAGGAGGGUGGGGCAUUUCUUCCUUGGCCCCUGCCUUGCUCCGGCUCCCUGGUAUGACCCUGCUGUGCCCGCCUUGUCAGCUGUCCGACUCAUGGCUCCAGCUCUGACCUAGCUCUCCAAACUCAGUCCUGCCCUCCCUGUUCUCCAUGGGCCCACCCAUUGCUGCUAGUCCCUGGCAACUUGACAUCUGAGCUGGUUCUCUUAACCCUAACAGAGUUGGGACCCUUCUGUAAGAGUGCUUUAAUUCAAAGUCUCUUCAAAGACUCCAGAUAGGAUGGAUAUCUAUUUCUUGCGAGGCACGCUAACUGCUUUGCUUUCAUCUGACAGAUCUACUCAGAUUGAUUGCCCAUGGCUGUCCACAUGAUGUGUUUAGGAAGAGUGCUGUGAUCCAUUAGUGAUGUCUGUCAGUGUGCAGCAGGGUAGGCAUGUAUAAGUGCCAUGUUUUGGACUUCUCUGAACUGGAUGGCCCUGUCUCUGAGAUUCCUUUUGGCUCUGACUUCUAGGAUCUAUUAUUUAUGAAAAAAAGAGAUCAAUUUCCCUCCAGAGAAGCCUGAACAAGAUGAUGGAGUUAAUGACUGUGGCCAACCAGCUGACAGCUUAUUGGCAAAUGAGACAUCGACACCGUGGGAAAUUAUCUCCUCCGUGUGGCCAAUUAAUCUUGACUUUGUGGCUCAUGCACUAUCAGUACUGCUGUCAGUAAUGGACCACCAGGGCAGAGGGUGGGAGGGUCUUUCACAGACUUUUGGAACCAAGUGCAAAAAAGUUUGGGGGCCUGUUGAAUGCAAAACCUUCCAGUUACAGGUGGGUCUGGUCAGACCACAGACAGUAGAGUGAUUUGCUCUGCAGCCUUUGUAAAUGCAUAUUUUUAUUAAAGGUGCAUUUU